AACGUAGGUGGCAAGCGUUAUCCGGAAUUACUGGGCGUAAAGGGUGUGCAGGCGGGUUGGUAAGUGGGGUAUGAAAUAUCCCAGCUUAACUGGGAGGGGUUAUGCCAGACUGCCAAUCUAGAGGACGAGAGAGGGGGGUGGAAUUCCGGGUGUAGUGGUGAAAUGCGUAGAGAUCCGGAGGAACCCCAGAGGCGAAGGCGGCCCCCUGGCUCGUACCUGACGCUCAGCCACGAAAGCAUGGGGAGCGAACGGG
rnacentral:rRNA from 1 species